rnacentral:rRNA from 1 species
UGGUGGAGUGAUUUGUCUGGUUAAUUCCGUUAACGAACGAGACCUCGACCUGCUAAAUAGUUCGGCGAAUCCUCGUGAUUCGUACGUGACUUCUUAGAGGGACUAUUGGUGUCUAGCCAAUGGAAGUUCGAGGCAAUAACA